GAUCCUGGCUCAGGAUGAACGCUAGCUACAGGCUUAACACAUGCAAGUCGAGGGGCAGCAUGGUCUUAGCUUGCUAAGGCCGAUGGCGACCGGCGCACGGGUGAGUAACACGUAUCCAACCUGCCGUCUACUCUUGGACAGCCUUCUGGAAGGAAGAUUAAUACAAGAUGGCAUCAUGAGUUCACAUGUCCACAUGAUUAAAGGUAUUCCGGUAGACGAUGGGGAUGCG
rnacentral:rRNA from 1 species